AUUGAACGCUGGCGGCAGGCCUAACACAUGCAAGUCGAACGGCAGCACAGAAGAGCUUGCUCUUCGGGUGGCGAGUGGCGGACGGGUGAGUAAUGUCUGGGAAACUGCCCGAUGGAGGGGGAUAACUACUGGAAACGGUAGCUAAUACCGCAUAACGUCGCGAGACCAAAGUGGGGGACCUUCGGGCCUCACACCAUCGGAUGUGCCCAGAUGGGAUUAGCUAGUAGGUGGGGUAACGGCUCACCUAGGCGACGAUCCCUAGCUGGUCUGAGAGGAUGACCAGCCACACUGGAACUGAGACACGGUCCAGACUCCUACGGGAGGCAGCAGUGGGGAAUAUUGCACAAUGGGCGCAAGCCUGAUGCAGCCGUGCCGCGUGUAUGAAGAAGGCCUUCGGGUUGUAAAGUACUUUCAGCGGGGAGGAAGGCGAUGUGGUUAAUAACCGCGGCGAUUGACGUUACCCGCAGAAGAAGCACCGGCUAACUCCGUG
rnacentral:rRNA from 1 species